AUGAAUGAAGAGCAUAGAUGUGAGAUGUGAAGAGCAACAAAGAGUGCUUGUUGGGCCCCAUGCCCAAGCUCAAGAGAAGACCGGCAAAUCUAAUUUGGCACCAUUAAAAGGCCCAUUAUAGGGUGUCGCCCAUUUAAGUCGGCUCUUAAUAAGCGCCCGCUUCUUCCUCACCAUCUGCCAUCUUCCUCCUCUAUGGGGUGUCGCCGUCUACCAUCUUAGAUGUCCACAAGUCGACGGCAAACACCACCCAUCAUUGUCGUUACUCUAUCGGCGUACCCGUCCCUCUGCCCGCGCCCGCGUGUUUCUCUCGCGCCCACCCAUCUGCAAGCGGAUCCACUGUGGUCGCCCCUGUUUCAGAUUAUUGCCUCUUCUCUGUCGAUUGCCGCUCUCUUAGCUGAUUCCAAUGCGUAGAGAGUGAAUCAGGUCUUUCUCGGAAAUUCGCUGGAUAGAUAGAGAUAGAUUGACAAAGACAGUGUUAUAGAGAGAGAGAGAGAGAGAGAGAGAGAGAGAGAGAGGCAAUAGAACAAACAUCAACGUCUGCAUUUGUUAGAUCAGAACAAAAAUCUCAUUGAGUGUCGCAACGAUGUUAUCAUAGCACUCUUGAACUCGGCGAGCAUCUUUGUCUCUGGCAGCAUAAUCCAGCUGCAGCACAAACGAUAAAGAUUUCAAUCUUCAUUUGCGAAGCUGGAGCAUAACGAGAGCGUGAAGACAAUGGACUCACACUCGAGACAUCGUUGAAGAGGUGAGAGUAGAGCUUCCUCAGUUGUGGCCGCUGGCUUCCAGGCUUUGCUUGGAUGAUCGUGUAGAGAUCCUGCUUCAGAUACGACGAGCUCUCGCGAAGCGCGAUCUGGGCUUCUCUCCAUGACUGCGAAUCGAUCAAAGCCUUUAUCCUUACCAGAUCUCUUGCAUGGAUCUUCACCACCGCGUCUGCUUCUUCGGGUGUCUGUUCCGGAGCGGUGAAUCUGAACUCCAAGGCGGAAGCGACGCUCGAACCGGAGAUGGCUUCCUUGGCAUGGAGAGCUACUACUACAGCUGCUGCUGCUGUUGUUGCUUGUCUCCUUCCGAAGAGUAGCUGUUCCGGGAGACCUGGAGCUGCAUGGCCAAGCUUGGAGUGGCCAUGGAGGCGGCAAACGACGCCGAGCGAAGGGUUUGUGGAGCAGUGUCUCAGCGACAUCGGCGAUGCCAUUUCACUUUGUGCAAGUUUUGGAUGGCUGUGAAGAGCGGCACUGCUAAUGCGGAUAAGAUGGUUCUUCGAACGCUUGUGGACAACAAUGAGCUACCACCUUCUCAAGGAAAGAUUACCGUAGGAAAAGUCAAACCCAGAAAAUGUUUCCCUAUUUACAUUAAUCACAAGAAAAGUCAAACCCAGAAUGUAAAGAUCAA